CAGGACUAGCAACUGCCGGGGUGAAGGAGGCUGAAAGCGCCGUUCCCACUCCACGUGGACGUGAGGAAAGAGGUAAUAGGGAGAACCUCAGCGUCCCUCAAGCCACGUUUUUUGAAAUCUGUGCAUCCCCCGUUGUGCAGGGCGAGAUGAUCGACCGCAUUGAAUAUAAUGUGGAACACUCGGUGGACUAUGUGGAGAGGGCCGUGUCAGAUACCAAAAAAGCUGUAAAGUACCAGAGCAAAGCCCGGAGGAAGAAGAUUAUGAUUAUCAUCUGCUGCGUCAUUCUGGGAAUUGUCAUUGCUUCUACUAUUGGCGGGAUUUUUGGCUAAAAGCCUGCAGCCCUCCGAGAACAUCGCUUAUGGGAGUAAGGAGAUGAAUAGGAGCACCGGAGCCACCUAGCCCACCACCCACUUGGGCCCAUCCAAAACCUAUAGCCUGGCGGACCAGCACUCUCGUCUCUAAUGCAUGAUUAUUUGUGUUAACACUAUGUGUUAAGUACAGUGUACGUGUUGGGGGAGGGAUGGUGCUGGGGGGUGGGUGGGAUGGUGGGAAGGCAAUGUAUGCAUGACAUGCUCAAGGUUUCGGCAGUUCCACCACCUUUUGACCGCUUCCUGAGGGUCAGAUCUCCUCAAACGGAAUCCCCUUCCCCUUCCAGUGAAGUCCUCUUUCUUCUCCCCAAAAUAAGAAUUUGCUUCGACAGCUAUGCACAGUUAAUCCAGUCCCUGUCCCAGCAGGGACAAGGUCUGGUCACCAGAACUGUGUCCUCUGCGCGGCUGCUUGUAAGAGGUAGGGGAGCCUCUUUGGCAAUAGCUGUUAGCUCCAACCAGGCCAGUCUUCCUCUUUUUCUAGCCAUGGCCAAGGACCUCCUUGUAGUGUUGCAGGCCUGUUCAUCUAGAGUAUUCUGUAUUUUGUUUUUAAUUCUGCAGCUGCCCAGCCAGGAGUAAGAGAUGGGUAUUGGCCCACUAGGCUUAAAUCUGUGUCUUCCACAGUUCUGCCCUGAGCACCAUUUCUGUUCAGCGGAAACCUCACUUCUUUUCAAUUUCUGAAGAACCAGCACCAGGCGUCUUUUCCCUUGCCUUCCUGUAAGCAAAAUGUAAUGGAUUUCUUUAAAAUGUCCUUCAAGGUUUGUUUACUUUUUU